rnacentral:rRNA from 1 species
GAACGCUAGCGACAGGCUAACACAUGCAAGUCGAGGGCGAUCACGGGAGUAGCAAUACAACUGGUGGCGACCGGCGCACGGGUGAGUAACGCGUAUGCAACCUACCUAUCAGAGGGGAAUAACCCGGCGAAAGUCGGACUAAUACCGCAUAAAACAGGGGCACCGCAUGGUGAUAUUUGUUAAAGAAAUUCGCUGAUAGAUGGGCAUGCGUUCCAUUAGGUAGUUGGUGAGGUAACGGCUCACCAAGCCGACGAUGGAUAGGGGAACUGAGAGGUUGGUCCCCCACACUGGUACUGAGACACGGACCAGACUCCUACGGGAGGCAGCAGUGAGGAAUAUUGGUCAAUGGGCGGGAGCCUGCACCAGCCAAGUCGCGUGAAGGAAGAAGGAUCUAUGGUUCGUAAACUUCUUUUGCAGGGGAAUAAAGUGCAGGACGUGUCCUGUUUUGUAUGUACCCUGAGAAUAAGGAUCGGCUAACUCCGUGCCAGCCGCCGC